GACGUAGGGCGCGAGCGUUGUCCGGAUUUAUUGGGCGUAAAGAGCUCGUAGGCGGCUUGUUGCGUCGACCGUGAAAACCCGGGGCUCAACUUCGGGCUUGCGGUCGAUACGGGCGGGCUAGAGUUCGGUAGGGGAGACUGGGAUUCCUGGUGUAGCGGUGAAAUGCGCAGAUAUCAGGAGGAACACCGGUGGCGAAGGCGGGUCUCUGGGCCGAUACUGACGCUGAGGAGCGAAAGCGUGGGGAGCGAACAGG
rnacentral:rRNA from 1 species